GAUGAACGCUGGCGGCGUGCCUAAUACAUGCAAGUCGAGCGACCGGACGAGAAGCUUGCUCCUCUGAUGUUAGCGGCGGACGGGUGAGUAACACGUGGAUAACCUCCCUAUAAGACUGGGAUAACUUCGGGAAACCGGAGCUAAUACCGGAUAAUAUUUUGAACCGCAUGGUUCAAUAGUGAAAGACGGUCUUGCUGUCACUUAUAGAUGGAUCCGCGCUGCAUUAGCUAGUUGGUAAGGUAACGGCUUACCAAGGCAACGAUGCAUAGCCGACCUGAGAGGGUGAUCGGCCACACUGGGACUGAGACACGGUCCAGACUCCUACGGGAGGCAGCAGUAGGGAAUCUUCCGCAAUGGGCGAAAGCCUGACGGAGCAACGCCGCGUGAGUGAUGAAGGUCUUCGGAUCGUAAAACUCUGUUAUUAGGGAAGAACAUAUGUGUAAGUAACUGUGCACGUCUUGACGGUACCUAAUCAGAAAGCCACGGCUAACUACGUG
rnacentral:rRNA from 1 species